UCUCUUCAAGCAUUGGUCUGGCUGUCAUAUAGUAGGAAACAAAGAAAUACAUGGGUUCCAAUUCCAAGGGUAUGGGUACAGAUCUGAGUACAGAAACAUGGUAUAUUUGCAUCACAGAAACCAAUACCACGGCCUCCAGAAGUCUCCAGCUUAAAUUCAGAGUGUCUGCUAAGCUAAAGGUUUUUUACAGAUCUCCAAGCAAAGAAGCUGUAGUAAAUGGAAACCACUGUAAGUCCAAUGGAUUUCACAUUGACACAAGACAUAAAGGAAAAUAAAACGUAUCUGCAGAAUUCUGCCUUAUUUUGGGACAUAAUCCAGCUGUCUCUGAAAAGUGGCAAUUUUUCCUAAAUCUUCUAAGUCUUUAG
rnacentral:lncRNA from 1 species